rnacentral:rRNA from 1 species
GACGAACGCUGGCGGCGUGCUUAACACAUGCAAGUCGAACGCUGAAGCUCAGCUUUUGUUGGGUGGAUGAGUGGCGAACGGGUGAGUAACACGUGAGUAACCUGCCCCCUUCUUUGGGAUAACGCCCGGAAACGGGUGCUAAUACUGGAUAUUCACUUGCCUUCGCAUGGGGGUUGGUGGAAAGGGUUUUUUCUGGUGGGGGAUGGGCUCGCGGCCUAUCAGCUUGUUGGUGGGGUGAUGGCCUACCAAGGCUUUGACGGGUAGCCGGCCUGAGAGGGUGACCGGUCACAUUGGGACUGAGAUACGGCCCAGACUCCUACGGGAGGCAGCAGUGGGGAAUAUUGCACAAUGGGCGAAAGCCUGAUGCAGCGACGCCGCGUGAGGGAUGGAGGCCUUCGGGUUGUAAACCUCUUUCGCUCAUGGUCAAGCCGCAGCUUUGGGUUGUGGUGAGGGUAGUGGGUAAAGAAGCGCCGGCUAACUACGUGCCAGCAGCCGCGGUAAUACGUAGGGCGCGAGCGUUGUCCGGAAUUAUUGGGCGUAAAGGGCUUGUAGCGGUUGGUCGCGUCUGCCGUGAAAUCCUCUGGCUUAACUGGGGGCUUGCGGGGGGUACGGGCUGACUUGAGUGCGGAAGGGGAGACUGGAAUCCUGGUGUAGCGGUGAAUCCCCUACUCAGGAAGAACUCCGUGUGCUAACCUGUUUCUGAGGCCUUCUUGAGGUGAUGACAGAAGCGGGGGAAC